rnacentral:lncRNA from 1 species
AGGCUUCCACUCUCGUGAAUCAGCACCGCUUGAUCAUCUGUGAGGAACAACAGACAGCCCACCCGCAUCUGCUAGAAGGCAUGAAGGAAGGAAGGGCCAAGGACGAGAUGUGGAGGGACUCGGGUCCAUGGGGUAGGUAUUGCUGAGGCCAUCAGAACACCAGACACCAGGACAUCAUCUACGGCCUCCCCUCCACCAAGGGGAGAAUUGUCAGCCACUGCCUGAUGUCAUUCCCCUCCACCAAGGCCAGAAUGCUGCCUCUUGCCAGAGGUGGGGACGGGAGGGACACUGAGGACUGAGAUGUCUGGGGACAAUGCUGGCU